ensembl:lncRNA novel transcript
ACAAGUAGAAGUAUUGACCCUCAAGGUCAUUUUAGUAUUGAUUUCAUUAUGAGAUAAUCACAUUAUUUUCUCUUUAUCCAUUGAGAAUAAAUAGCAUGCAAUCUGUCACAGUCACUGGUUUGGCUAACUUGACUUCCAUGCCCAGCCUUAUUUUCUCUUGCCUGCCUCUAACCUAGAGAGUGGAAAACCUAAAUAUGCAAGUUUCCAGCCAACCCUGAAACCAUAGUGGCCACGUGACUAUUUUUGUUUUUUUGCAAAUGUGAUCUAAACAUAAGUUUACAGGGAAGUUUCUAGAAAAGCUUUUGCUUUUUUGAGAAAAGGGGACAAAUUUGGCUGAUGUUUUAUCUUCUUUUGUAAUGCCUGCCUUGGUUAUGGAUGUGACACCUAAAGUUAGGGAAACCUUGAGGCUGCGGUUGGAGGAUCACUUCUGGCCAGGAGUUUGAGGCUACAGUGAGCUACGAUCAGGCCACUGCACCCCAGCUUGGGCAACAAAAUAAGACUCCGUCUCUAAAAAAAGUUUAAGAAAGGAAAAAA